rnacentral:lncRNA from 1 species
AGAUUUAGCAAUGUGAUGAUCAUUCGGCAACCUUAACAAGGGCAGCUUUGAUGGGGGCGGUGGACACCUGAUUAGAAAGGGUCCAAAGGAGAGUGGGAAGAUGGAAUUGGAUAACUUGCUCUGUUUGCUGUAGAAGGGAGUAGAGAAAUUGAGUGGUAGCUGGACAGGCGUGUCCAAAGACGGAUUGGCAUGUAAGAAGAAUCUUUGGGAGAUUAUAGAAGAAAUGUUUCUUAGAAAGGCCCUUUGAAAGUGGAGAAGUGUACUUGCAGCAAUAAUAUAUCACUCCCCGCCAACUCAGGCACCGCUGGGAUUCGAACCCAGGAUCUCCUGUUUACUAGACAGGCGCUUUAACCAGCUAAGCCACGGCGCCGGCGUAAAAAAUGUGUACCUCAAAAUAAAUCAACUCUUAGUGGGUGACAGUAAGUGAAAAUCAGCAAACUGCCUGCAGUGGUUCCUCAGUGACUCAUCCCUUCCUAAGGUACCUCUUCCCUUUCAGGUUCUGAGCCAAAGGGUUAAUGCUUUGCUUCUCCAUUAUUCCACACCUUUGGGGCCAACUCAACCAUGAGCGAGCACAUGACUCCAUGUGUCCCUUAGCUACCUAGACUGACCUGCUGAAGGACCCUCUCUGUGUGGUGACCAAGAAGCCAAGGAAGGCUGGGCGCGGUGGCUCACGCCUGUAAUCCCAGCACUUUGGGAGGCCAAGGCGGGCAGAUCACCUAAGGUCAGGAGUCCGCGACCAGCUUGACCAAAAAUGGUGAAACCCCGUCUCUACUAAAAAUACAAAAUUAGCCAGGCGCGCCUGUAAUCCCAGCUACUCGGGAGGCUGAGGCAGGAGAAUCGCUUGAACCCGGGAGGCAGACGUUGCAGUGAGCCGAGAUUGCACCAUUGCACUCCAGCUGGGUGACAGAGCGAAAUUCCGUCUCAAAUAAAAAAAAGGAAGCCAAGGAAGACAAACACCCUCAAAUACCUCAGGGCACCACAGAGUUAAGCGGGGUUCCUCUGCCUUGGCCACCUGUGACCCGGGCUGGAGCUUACCCAAGCCCUUGGCCACACGCACCUCUCAGCUCUCCUUCCCAGGGCAAACCCAGCUGAGGCCAUGCUAGAGGGGACAGCAGAGUCUGAGCUGGACGUGGACAUAGCAGGCUCAGCAGGGCCCUCACCUGGACAGGAUGGGGGAAAAGAGGAAUGGGGGUCGUCAGGAGAUGGCCCUGUACACCCUCACUACAACCUUCCCAAAAGCAGGGCCAGAUCUCCCCUCGACACGCUCCCCUCACCCCAACCCCAAACUUCAUUCCACAAAGUCCUGGGCGUUUUUAUCUUUUUGUAUUAAAAAAGUAGUAACAGACACAAAUAUCAAAAACACAAAUGCCAUCGGCAGAGGGUACAGCUGAGAACGCCUGGGUCCCACCUGAGGGGCAGCACCAGGGACUCCAUGGUCCACCAACCUCCCCCACUCCAGAGCAGCUAGGGGCUGGAACCCCCGGGUCCUGCUUGGGCCUCAGGCUCUCCUCCCAUCUGGGGAGGAGGUGCGAGAAAGAGCUGUCUCCCCCAAUAAAUAAGUGCAGCCCCAACCCUCAGGAGUCAGAUUCAGGCUCAGCUGGAAUAUGGAGAGGCCACUUCAGCAGCUUGUCAGCAACUUUGUCCAGGGGAGGGAAGGAUUCCUCUCCAAAGGUGGGAGGUGACACUCCUCUGGGCUGGGCUGCGGAGUUCUGCUCUCUGCUCCCUAAGAGGCCAGAGGCAGCCCCUGGAUCCUAGGCUGGUGAUGGGGGUCCGGCCCCCUAUGGUGGGAGAAGCUGGGGCAGUUUCCCACUGGUUGGUCUAGCCACAUCUGAGUUCUGAGAAUUGGGA